rnacentral:rRNA from 1 species
UGGGGAAUUUUGGACAAUGGGGGCAACCCUGAUCCAGCCAUGCCGCGUGUGUGAAGAAGGCCUUCGGGUUGUAAAGCACUUUCGGACGGAACAAAAUCGCACGGGUGAAUAUCCCGUGUGGAUGACGGUACCGUAAGAAGAAGCACCGGCUAACUACGUGCCAGCAGCCGCGGUAAUACGUAGGGUGCGAGCGUGAAUCGGAAUUACUGGGCGUAAAGUGUGCGCAGGCGGCUGAGCAAGUCGAGUGUGAAAUCCCCGGGCUUAACUUGGGAAUUGCGCUCGAAACUACUUGGCUGGAGUAUGGCAGAGGAAGGUGGAAUUCCACGUGUAGCGGUGAAAUGCGUAGAGAUGUGGAGGAACACCGAUGGCGAAGGCAGCCUUCUGGGCCAAUACUGACGCUCAUGCACGAAAGCGUGGGGAGCAAA